UUUCUUAUGAGCUGAAUUCGAAAACGUUUUUGAGCUUGAAAUGUCCAAUUAAAUUAUUUUAGUCUGCAGAUAUCCAUAGUAGCGGGAGUUACUCAAUCGGUUUCAUUUUAGUUUUUGGCAAGACAACAAGUUGACUUCCAAACUACAUUUAUUUUACAGUUAUUAUACCUGGCACUUAAGUUAAAUGAGGUUAAGUUAUCAGGGCUAUUCCCGUCAGCUAGCUAUUUCAUAGCUAUAAAUGCCUUAUUCCCGGUUUAAAAAGGUCAAGUUAAAGACAAUAGUAGCGAUUCAUUUAAAUUAUAUAUUGUGAAUAUCAACAACAGUUACUAUUGAUUUACUUAAUUUUAAUAUAUUUUAAAUUCUUUAUCCUGACCUGAAGACUGGUGAACAUUUAAAAAAAAAAUUAAUAUCACUUUUGUUAUCUGAAGGUGAUCGUUAAAAUUAUAUACAAAAACAAGUACUACGCCUAAAAGAACCAAGCAAUUUAUUACCACAACGUUUCGCCUUAGUACAUAAAGUAAUUCCAAAUGUUUAAUGUCUCUCCUCUUAACGAUGAAACGUUCCUCCACCAAAAUGAGAAAUAUCAAAUGUACCCCGAAUUUAUUUAAAUAAUUUAACUACGUCUCUACUAUUUUACGGAUAUACGACGCUUGAUUCUCUUUGUCACUACGUGGAGGACAGUCGUCUAAAUGAUAUACUUAGGAACCAAUACUGAAGUGUGCAUGAAUCACUCAAAAAUUUGAAAUCAGAAUCCUUUGGCUUACUUUGUGCAACAUAAAUUUUAAUAAUAAAUUAUUGUAUGAAUCUA